rnacentral:lncRNA from 1 species
AGGGUGGAGAAGUGAGGUGCUAAUUAAGAAGUUGCACGACCCUUUGGAGAAACACCAAAGAAUUAAUUCCGAAGAGUCCUUUUGCGUGAAGUGACUCUUGGAAUUAAUUCUGAUGCUUCCACAUAAUAUAUCAAGCUUGGACCAACAUGUGAAGGGUGGAACGAUGUGAGAUUGGGCAUGAGAAAUUGCUUGAAAGGGCACGAGAUGAUUGGAAAGCAUUCGAUCUCCAAAUAUAAAG